AAGUCUGUGCAGCAACUGAGAGCGGUGAGUUGUUUAAUUAUAAUAGAAGCUAGGAUCUGUCACUAUAAAUUGGUUUAAGGUCCAGGAUUUUCCUUUUAUUUCUUUCUUUUGGUGAGGAAUACUUCUUUGUACAUUUAGUUAGUUAUGAAUGACGCCUUUAGUAUAACAAUGGCUUGGCUAUAAUAAUGUAUUACCUUCAGAUGUGUCACAUGUUUACUGGUUCUGGCUCAAGACGUGCGGUUAUUCAUGCAUUUGGGAUUGGUGUCAUCUCUCUCUCUCUCUCUCUCGUCUUCUUCAAUAAGAUCUUUCCUUUGUUUUAAUGAACAUAUUAUGAUUUCCAAAAAAGGAAGUAGAGUUAUAAACUAUGUAAAGCAUGCAAGCUUCAUCAAAGUAUAUAUGCAUGGUUUAACCUUAUAUAUACACAAGAUAAUCAGUGAAUGAAGCCUGAAACUCACCACCAAAAGCUCUUGAGCAAAGUCCUGCCAAUAAUCCUCCUCUCCACACAAACACCACCCCACAACCCCCCCACCCCCCCACCCCCCACAAGCCCCACCUUCUUGCCCAAAUUUUAGGCUAUGUGGAGGCCCCAAGAAAAAAAAAAUUGUAAAAAAAGAGUAAACGAAGAGCAGAAAUUUCUGAGCUUCCUCAUAUGGGGAAGUAGACGAAGAGGGCCUAAAAAGCGUUGACUCUAUUCUCUCAUUGAAGUCGUCCAUUAAAAAUCAAUCUGCAGACAUCAUAAAUUUUCUGCAGAGUGGUUGCUACUUCCGGCCCUUUCGCUGCUUCUGUUUAUUCAAGUGAUUGUCGUAUGCAAGUGAGGCAAAAUACAACAAUUUUGGCCAAAACACUUGCUCUUUGAAAUAGCCAAAAGUACAAUUUGAAAUAGCUAGAUUUUCUGGAAGCACUAUUACAGCUCUACUAUUGACUGCAAAAAGACAUCAUUUUCUAUAAUAAAUGUAGCAAACCAAACACCAACUCUAACUUAAGGUUGUGAAUGAAACAAACCAACCAGCUAAGGCCAUUUCAUAUAUUAAUUUAUGAGUUUGAUCACAGUACAAUAACUAGGUAUAACAACUAAUUAAUGUGUUCCUCCCCAAGUUUAAUUCUUAUGUUGUAUUUUAGCUAACUAGUUUGUUUUCUUGAAUAUUUAGGUGUGAAGUCAGUGGAGGUAAGCAGAAAGGAAAGCCGGGUAACAGUAAGUGGGUACGUUGAACCAAACAAGGUGUUAAAGAAAGUGAGAAGCACAGGGAAGAGAGCUGAGUUUUGGCCCUAUGUACCAUACAACUUGGUGGCCUACCCUUACGUUGCUAAAGCCUACGACAAGAAGGCACCUUCUGGGUAUGUUAGGGAUGUGGUUGAAGCCCUUCCUAGCCCCAACGCAGCUGAUGAGAAAUUCACAACCUUGUUUAGCGAUGAAAACCCACAUGCAUGUUCCAUUAUGUAGGAAUCAAUUGGUUUAAUUUCAAUGCCAAAAUGGAAAAAUCACAUGUAUACAGAUUAGGACCAGCUGAGUUAUAUAUAUUUACAGGAAUUUGGAACUUUUGAGUUUUGUAAUUAUGUGUUUCUCUAUAGAGGAGUUUUGGUUCUGCUUUUGUAUGUAGGUUUUGUAUGCUUAAUUACCUUUUGUUACAGUUAAUGAAAUGCAUUGUAGACAUCAAUCCACGUGAUGC
rnacentral:misc_RNA from 1 species